UGGAAUUUGCUGCUCAGCAAGGGCUGGUGUUGCUGUAACUUCAGCUUCAAGUCUAAAAUCUGUAGGGUGACCACAUUUGGAGGUCCCUGAUCCCUGCAACUGUCCAAGGCCAGGGCUUGGAGCAGCCUGGGAUGGUGGAAGGUGUCCCUGCCAUGGCAGGGGGUGGAAUGAGAUGAGCUUUAUCGUCCCUUCCAACCCAAACCAGUCCAUGAUUUCAUAACUUUGGGGAUUCCUUUUGGCACUAAUGACUGCUAAUGUCUAAUGAAUCAGAAGCAGUUUGUGAAUCCAUGAGUAUCCAGGAGCAGGGAAGAGUCCUAAAGGCUCUCCAUGGGGAUCUCCAGGCAUUCUGUGAGACAGCCACUGAAAAUUUCAGCCACUCAAACAGCCCAGCCUUAUCUCUCCAAGAGGCCAGGGGAGGAGAGUGUGAAGAAACUUCUUAAAAGCACAGUCUGAUUUGGGAUAUUUAAAUUUGGGACACUUUGCUAAUUUUUGUCUAAAAUGACUCAAUUUCUAGCAACAACAACCCCCUUACAUGUCCCUCUAUCUGCACAGAGUUCAGCAGAACCUUUCCCUGGGCAGCAGCUUUGUCCAGGCUCCAUCAGCAGCCUCAGCCCUUGCUCUGGGGCACCGUGGAGUGAAAAUGAACCAGUGAUGAGACAGCACCCGAAUUAAAACCCAAAGUGUCAAUGAGCAGCCCCCUCCCCUCCAAGGCCCGGAGGAUGCUCAGGGAAAGAUUUGAUUUGGGAGAGGUUUGAGCUGAACUUUUGAGGAGAAUCAGGACACUGCUCUUUGUGACCUGGAGGUGAAAUGUUGGAGUCAGAAUUCCUCCUGCUAUGAAACAUCCCCUGGUUCUCAUCAGCCCCAUCAAAAUUUAUGGGGUCUCCAUGGCUGGGUUGAGUUUGGAGGAUGAAUUUAACAGGACAAAGUUGCCAACUCCCCAUCACUUAUCUGAGCCUGAGGCAGCCUCUCAGAUUUCCCCAGAACGAAUCUGCGCUUGGAACUGUUGAGAUUAAAAGAGAGAAGUGUCCCUGUACUUCAGGUGUUAUUCUAGGAUUAAAAACCAAGAGAUUUAGAGAUUUAAAAAAUGUUCACUAAAGGAAACAGGGCCUUUGACUUCUUUUUCUAAAUCUACUGGAGGAUCUGGAUAUUUGAAAUUUUGCUGCUGUUGGGCUGGGCUUCAGUUAAAUUAUAAUUUCUUAGUUGAAUUAUAUUGAAUUAUUAUGAUUUCUUAGUUGAAUUCUAAUUUCUAAAUUAUUUUCCUGGUGAUACCUAAUAAAGUGAAAGCUGACAGCAAAGAGCCUCUGCCUAGCCCACCUGAAAACAAUGCCAUGGAAUUUCUCCAUUCCCUGUGUGCUGGCUGCCCAAAUGCCUCCUUGUCACAGGAGACAGGGAAGGAUUUGUGGUGAAAUAACAAUAAACAAAAAUUAAUAGGUCAUGCUUGCAGAAACGCCUCCAGACAAGCUGGGCCAGCUGGGAUCAGCUCAGGCUCCCAGGAUAUGAGGCAUUAGCAGCAUUUUCCAUGGGAUAAGUACCAGAGAAAUUGGCUCUGGCUGUUCCUCCUGUACCUAAACUUCCUGUGAUGAGUUUUUGAAAUCCUGCUGUGAAACAGCAAUUGAUGCUGGAGCCCUUCAAAGUGGUUAUGAAAAAUCAGAGACAUUUCCCUUCUGUCCUCCCAUGCCUCCUGGUCUCUGGGUUGCAUU